UGGAGAUAGCAGGAGGCGACAGCUAAAGCAGAUGAGCAAUUGAGAAAACUGAUAAAGAUCAACUAAUCGUGUGAGGUAAAUUUCAGCACACAGCGAAAGGAACGAGAACGAGAACGAGCCCAAGGACGAGCCUGGGAGGAGGGUGCAGAGCACCGCAGGAGGCAGCGUAAAAUAUGUCAGAACCAAAAUGAGAAUUUAAAAUUGAAAAUCAGACCAGAAAAAGGGGACUAGAAAGGAGCGAGGCUAAGAAACGACAUCGAUGCCGCGACCCGGAUAAAGCAAUAUAGACCGGAAGCUCUACCGUAAGACAGAUUAAGAGAUUAGGAAUAAAAAUUGAAUCCAUUUAAAGCUGAAUAAGACUGAAGACGAAACAGAUCUCUGCAGAGAGAUACGGACAAAAGGAUGACUGGGAAGAGACUGUAACGAUGAAACGUACUGGAAGAAAGCCAGAAAGAAAGGGAUAGCAAGGAAUUAAGGGAUGCAAAGAAGAAGGCUGAUAAGAGCUAUCAAGACAAAGACUAAAUAAAGCCAAGACCAAGUAGAACAAAGUGAAAAGUAAGGGUCUAAAGGCCUGUGAUUUUAGGAAUAAAUCGAUAUAGCUUAGGAAUAAGUCACUUUUUGGAUAUCUUUCCCAAGACUCGCGGCUUGGCGUUGUAAAGAAUGGAGCACGGGAAUGACUGGAUAGACUGCAUCCAUAGAUCGAUGAAAGAUUGGGAUUUGGACGGACAAGGGGAUGCAGGGCAUCUGCUAGUCGAGCACGGCCGACUGGAGCGUUUGUUUCCUUUGAUGUUCAAAAGCCGAAAAUGUCUUAAUAACCGAAAUGGGAACGGGGCGCAAACAGCUGGCCAAAGACAGGUGUCCAAGGAGCAGGUGGACAGGGGGCAGGGGGCGACUGACAGUCGAAGAAGCGCAAAAAUUUCAUUUUAAUUAAUUUGCGGGCAACGCUUGACGAGCUGUUGUUGCCGGCUUGGGUGCAGGACGAGUGAGUGUCCUGGUCACAUCCUGCGGCAAUAACUCACAGCACUUUAUGCGCUUAAGUGAUUUCUAAUGCAAACCAAUUUCCGAAAUCAGCAAAAGCACUUGAAGCCAUUUCGACUGGCGCCCACAGCCAAAGGGCCACAAGCUGGAGCAAGAACAGGACGAGAACGAGGACGAGGACGAGGAGGAGUCGCGCCACCAGCUAAAGGAUAUUUCGUUUAUGUUUUUGCCAGCCAGAAGAGCAGUCACCCAGCCUGGCAGCCAGGCAGUCACCCAGGCAGGCAAAGCAGGAAGUCAGCCUUGUCUAUCAGCCAAAUGACAGUCGCGACGGCUGCUGCUGCUGCCACGCCCCGCUUCCCCAUUUGCACCGCCCGUUCAGCUACUGCUUCAUGCAUGUCCUGUGUGUGUUUCUUGGAAGGCGGCGUCGCUUGGCUUCGCUCGGAUAUGCCAAGGCACAAAUGUGCACAUGAUAUGCCACGCAGUAGCUGGAGUAGCACAUAAAAAGGACACACACACAGCCAGGCAGCGAAAUCAUAAAGGAUAAUAUUGAAUUUACUGCAUGAAAUGCAAAUUUUUUUUGCGCUGCACAAGGACCAAGAAAAAAAGCACAGCAGGAGCAAGGCGGCCAACAGGGAGCCAAAGGAGCGUAACGCGAGCUCAGCAAGCGGCUGGCAAUAUCCUCUAUCCGAAAGCCUCGCUGGGAAGGACUUACUCAUACACACACAAACACACACACAAACACACACACACACACACG
rnacentral:sRNA from 1 species